GGCAUCUUUCUAGAGGAGGCGUUGCCCUAACCGAGCACACACUUUAUAGGCAAGCUGUGAGCUGCGGGACAUGGCUGGCAGUCGCAUAUACAAGUUGGGCUCCAUUUUCACGAGGGUGGAGGGCCUUUUGAAGGCUGGUGGCAUGAUGCCUUCGGAAGAACCACGCUGGCUUGAUGUGUACCGUGCCUUACCACCCAUCGAGGAGCCCAGCUUCUACAGGGCGGCUAGGGGCGACGUGCGUCCAGUCUUCUACCCAGAGGAUGUGGCGCGCAUGCAAUUCUACCAGCAGCAUCCCAAUGCUACUGUGGACCUGCAGGACACAAGAAGCUUGUCUCCUUGUCAGUGAGCUGCUCCAAAACUCCGUUUUUACUACUCCAAAGCUGCUUCAAAACCGCAAUAAUCUUGCUCCCAAAAGUGUUCUAAAAGACUGAAGCCCGCUUCCACCCCUGAUUAAGUCAUAGGUUUCUGAAGGAGCAGCCGCUGCAUGGACAGCAUGUCCUGGGAAGUUCGGCUUCCUGAGAAUUUCAGAACAUGGCGAUAAAUGUGUUUCAAAUGGAGGACUCACUGUCAUAUUGUGUUGUGGCAGAUUUAAAAGGUGGAGUUUAUGUGUUUGUUGACCAGACUGCCUGUACAGGGGAGUGGCCAUUGGUUAAAAUGGCCAUGACGAUUUCGUUUUAAUUGUGAAGGCAAUAGAGGCAAGCUUAGUAAAACUUGUUAUUUGGCUGGAUAACUAGUCAUAUUGUAAGUAAAUUUAGCGCAACUUGGAAAUUCUUUGGAAAACUUAGGAAACACAUAGCACCCACUAUACCAACUGUGUUCUGUGAGUGUUUCGAGUGAUUUCCAAGGUGCGCUAAAUUUAGGCAGGGUUAUGAAAUUGACACGCUUUGCAAAACCUUGCAGGCAGACAUCGUUGUUGGGGUCAUUAAAAAAGCCCAGCCUGCAAUCUAUUAGGGGCUUUAACAAGCUGUGCCCAUCAUGUGCAUGAAAUAAAAAAUAAUUUUGUAUGUAGCUGUUCAAA